rnacentral:rRNA from 1 species
GGAAUUUUGGGCAAUGGGCGAAAGCCUGACCCAGCAACGCCGCGUGAAGGACGAAAUCCCUCUGGGAUGUAAACUUCGAAAGUCGGGAAAGAAAUCGCCGGGGCCAACACCCCUGGUGGAUGACGGUACCCGACGUAGGCCCCGGCUAACUACGUGCCAGCAGCCGCGGUAAUACGUAGGGGGCAAGCGUUGUUCGGAAUUACUGGGCGUAAAGGGCGCGUAGGCGGCACGGCAAGUCAGGAGUGAAAGCCCGGGGCUCAACCCCGGAACGGCUUUUGAGACUGCCGAGCUAGAGUGCGGAAGGGGCAACCGGAAUUCCCAGUGUAGCGGUGAAAUGCGUAGAUAUUGGGAAGAACACCGGAGGCGAAGGCGGGUUGCUGGGCCGACACUGACGCUGAGGCGCGAAAGCCAGGGGAGCAA